CAGGGAAUAGUUUAUAAAUAGAAUGUCAGCUUUGGGUGCUGAUGGUGGAGCUGUUGUUUCUUCCUUGA
rnacentral:tRNA from 1 species